GGGUUGUGAGGUUAAGCGACUAAGCGUACACGGUGGAUGCCCUGGCAGUCAGAGGCGAUGAAGGACGUGCUAAUCUGCGAAAAGCGCCGGCGAGGUGAUAUGAACCUUUGACCCGGCGAUGUCCGAAUGGGGAAACCCAGUGCAAUUCGUUGCACUAUCGUUAACUGAAUACAUAGGUUAACGAGGCGAACCGGGGGAACUGAAACAUCUAAGUACCCCGAGGAAAAGAAAUCAACCGAGAUUCCCCCAGUAGCGGCGAGCGAACGGGGAGCAGCCCAGAGUCUGAAUCAGCUUGUGUGUUAGUGGAAGCGUCUGGAAAGUCGCACGGUACAGGGUGACAGUCCCGUACACGAAAGCACACAGGCUGUGAACUCGAAGAGUAGGGCGGGACACGUGGUAUCCUGUCUGAAUAUGGGGGGACCAUCCUCCAAGGCUAAAUACUCCUGACUGACCGAUAGUGAACCAGUACCGUGAGGGAAAGGCGAAAAGAACCCCGGCGAGGGGAGUGAAAAAGAACCUGAAACCGUGUACGUACAAGCAGUGGGAGCACCUUCGUGGUGUGACUGCGUACCUUUUGUAUAAUGGGUCAGCGACUUAUAUUCUGUAGCAAGGUUAACCGUAUAGGGGAGCCGAAGGGAAACCGAGUCUUAACUGGGCGUUAAGUUGCAGGGUAUAGACCCGAAACCCGGUGAUCUAGCCAUGGGCAGGUUGAAGGUUGGGUAACACUAACUGGAGGACCGAACCGACUAAUGUUGAAAAAUUAGCGGAUGACUUGUGGCUGGGGGUGAAAGGCCAAUCAAACCGGGAGAUAGCUGGUUCUCCCCGAAAGCUAUUUAGGUAGCGCCUCGUGAAUUCAUCUUCGGGGGUAGAGCACUGUUUCGGCUAGGGGGCCAUCCCGGCUUACCAACCCGAUGCAAACUACGAAUACCGAAGAAUGUUAUCACGGGAGACACACGGCGGGUGCUAACGUCCGUCGUGAAGAGGGAAACAACCCAGACCGCCAGCUAAGGUCCCAAAGUCAUGGUUAAGUGGGAAACGAUGUGGGAAGGCACAGACAGCCAGGAUGUUGGCUUAGAAGCAGCCAUCAUUUAAAGAAAGCGUAAUAGCUCACUGGUCGAGUCGGCCUGCGCGGAAGAUGUAACGGGGCUAAACCAUGCACCGAAGCUGCGGCAGCGACGCUUAUGCGUUGUUGGGUAGGGGAGCGUUCUGUAAGCCGUUGAAGGUGGCCUGUGAGGGUUGCUGGAGGUAUCAGAAGUGCGAAUGCUGACAUAAGUAACGAUAAAGCGGGUGAAAAGCCCGCUCGCCGGAAGACCAAGGGUUCCUGUCCAACGUUAAUCGGGGCAGGGUGAGUCGACCCCUAAGGCGAGGCCGAAAGGCGUAGUCGAUGGGAAACAGGUUAAUAUUCCUGUACUUGGUGUUACUGCGAAGGGGGGACGGAGAAGGCUAUGUUAGCCGGGCGACGGUUGUCCCGGUUUAAGCAUGUAGGCGGAGGUUCCAGGUAAAUCCGGUACCUUAUUAACGCUGAGGUGUGAUGACGAGGCACUACGGUGCUGAAGUAACAAAUGCCCUGCUUCCAGGAAAAGCCUCUAAGCAUCAGGUAACAUCAAAUCGUACCCCAAACCGACACAGGUGGUCAGGUAGAGAAUACCAAGGCGCUUGAGAGAACUCGGGUGAAGGAACUAGGCAAAAUGGUGCCGUAACUUCGGGAGAAGGCACGCUGAUAUGUAGGUGAAGCCCCUGCGGGUGGAGCUGAAAUCAGUCGAAGAUACCAGCUGGCUGCAACUGUUUAUUAAAAACACAGCACUGUGCAAACACGAAAGUGGACGUAUACGGUGUGACGCCUGCCCGGUGCCGGAAGGUUAAUUGAUGGGGUUAGCGGCAACGCGAAGCUCUUGAUCGAAGCCCCGGUAAACGGCGGCCGUAACUAUAACGGUCCUAAGGUAGCGAAAUUCCUUGUCGGGUAAGUUCCGACCUGCACGAAUGGCGUAAUGAUGGCCAGGCUGUCUCCACCCGAGACUCAGUGAAAUUGAACUCGCUGUGAAGAUGCAGUGUACCCGCGGCAAGACGGAAAGACCCCGUGAACCUUUACUAUAGCUUGACACUGAACACUGGUCCUUGAUGUGUAGGAUAGGUGGGAGGCUUUGAAGCGUGGACGCCAGUCUGCGUGGAGCCGUCCUUGAAAUACCACCCUUUAAUGGCUGGUGUUCUAACGUAGACCCGUGAUCCGGGUUGCGGACAGUGUCUGGUGGGUAGUUUGACUGGGGCGGUCUCCUCCCAAAGAGUAACGGAGGAGCACGAAGGUUAGCUAAUCCUGGUCGGACAUCAGGAGGUUAGUGCAAUGGCAUAAGCUAGCUUGACUGCGAGAGUGACGGCUCGAGCAGGUGCGAAAGCAGGUCAUAGUGAUCCGGUGGUUCUGAAUGGAAGGGCCAUCGCUCAACGGAUAAAAGGUACUCCGGGGAUAACAGGCUGAUACCGCCCAAGAGUUCAUAUCGACGGCGGUGUUUGGCACCUCGAUGUCGGCUCAUCACAUCCUGGGGCUGAAGUAGGUCCCAAGGGUAUGGCUGUUCGCCAUUUAAAGUGGUACGCGAGCUGGGUUUAGAACGUCGUGAGACAGUUCGGUCCCUAUCUGCCGUGGGCGCUGGAGAAUUGAGGGGGGCUGCUCCUAGUACGAGAGGACCGGAGUGGACGCAUCACUGGUGUUCGGGUUGUCAUGCCAAUGGCACUGCCCGGUAGCUAAAUGCGGAAAAGAUAAGUGCUGAAAGCAUCUAAGCACGAAACUUGCCCCGAGAUGAGUUCUCCCUGACCCUUUAAGGGUCCUGAAGGAACGUUGAAGACGACGACGUUGAUAGGUCGGGUGUGUAAGCGCAGCGAUGCGUUGAGCUAACCGAUACUAAUGAACCGUGAGGCUUAACCUUACAACGCCGAAG
rnacentral:rRNA from 1 species